rnacentral:ncRNA from 1 species
UAAUGUUGAUUCUUUCAUCAAAGUUUGAUUCUGGCUUAUUAAAUUUGCCUUUUUUUAAUUGUACAUGUAUAUUUUUGUGUGUUAGCCUUGUCUAAAUGUUUAUGAUUUAUAUUCGCAGUUCUUUAUUUUAUAUAUUAUAUAAUUAUUGAUUUAGUUAAUUAAAGGAGCUCUGACUAAUAUUGUGCCAGCAGUCGCGGUUAUACAAUAGGAGCGAGUGAGUUUGUUUUGGUUUAUAUUUAAUUUUAAUUAAUGUUGCUUAAGUUUUAAAUUAUUGGGGUGAAAUCAAUAUUUCUUUUUAAGUAAUUUUUAUGAUUAAAUAUGAUGGUUCAAGGUGAGACUGGGAUUAGAGACCCCAUUAUUAUGAAUAGUAAAUUUUUAAUCUUAGUAUUAAUAGUUAUGAUCUUUAAAUUAAAAGAAUUUGGCGGUAAUUUAGUCUGUUCAGAGGAAUCUGCCCUGUAAUUGAUAGUCCACGAUAAAUUUUACUUUACUUGGGCUUGUAUAUCGCUGUCAUUGAAUGUCUUAUUAGGGGAUUUUCGUUAAUCAUUAUAUGGAAGAUGUCAGGUCAAGGUGCAGCUAUGGUAAAGAAGAGGUGGAUUACAUUUAAUGUAUUUAUGGAUAAGUUUAUGAAAAUAGCUUUGAAAUUGGAUUUGAGAGUAACUUCUAUUAUAAUAUAGAAUUGAUUUAGCUCUAAAUUAUGCACAUAUCGCCCGUCACUCUCGUUAUUUAAAAUGAGAUAAGUCGUAACAAAGUAGGCUUACUGGAARRGUGAGCCUGGUUUUAU